UCGGGAUUAGGACGUCCACUUAACUUGGAGUCCGAACUCUCACUUUCUAACCCUGUGCACUUGUUUGGGAUAGUAACUCUCGCAAGAGAGCGAACUCCUAUUCACUUAUAAACACAAAGUCUAUGAAUGUAUUAAAUUUUAUAACAAAAUAAAACUUUCAACAACGGAUCUCUUGGCUCUCGCAUCGAUGAAGAACGCAGCGAAAUGCGAUAAGUAAUGUGAAUUGCAGAAUUCAGUGAAUCAUCGAAUCUUUGAACGCACCUUGCGCUCCAUGGUAUUCCGUGGAGCAUGCCUGUUUGAGUGUCAUGAAUACUUCAACCCUCCUCUUUCUUAAUGAUUGAAGAGGUGUUUGGUUUCUGAGCGCUGCUGGCCUUUACGGUCUAGCUCGUUCGUAAUGCAUUAGCAUCCGCAAUCGAACUUCGGAUUGACUUGGCGUAAUAGACUAUUCGCUGAGGAAUUCUAGUCUUCGGACUAGAGCCGGGUUGGGUUAAAGGAAGCUUCUAAUCAGAAUGUCUACAUUUUAAGAUUAGAUCUCAAAUCAGGUAGGACUACCCGCUGAACUUAAGCAUAUCAAUAGCCCGAGGGGAAA
rnacentral:rRNA from 1 species